AUGUGGGAGUGCCCUGACUUCUUCCCUGUGGCGGUAGCCGGAGGCAGCCGUAACCACCAGAGUGGUGUGGACACCGUGGAGUUGCACGACCGUGUUGUGGCCAAGGAGGUCAAGUACGUGCUCAAGGUGAGUCUAGAACUGACACGAUACGAUUACUACACAAUUGGCACAUACGACCACGACAAGGAGAGGUACACCCCCGACCACGCCUUCCUGGACAAUGACUACGACCUCCGCUACGACUAUGGUGACUUCUACGCCUCCAAGUCCUUCUUCGACCCGACCAAGAAACGACGUGUUCUCUGGGGCUGGGCCAAUGAGUCUGACACCGUUACCAACGACCACCACAAGGGCUGGGCCGGCAUCCAGGCGAUACCAAGGAAGAUCUUCCUAUCGCGAAGCGGGAGACAGCUGAUCCAAUGGCCAGUGGAGGAGGUCAAGUCGCUGCGCUCAAAGCACGUAAAUGUCAGCAACAAGGCCGUCAAGGGCGGCGAGUACUUCGAGAUCACCGGCUUCAAAUCUGUGCAGUCAGACGUGGAGGCGGCGUUCGCCAUCAGGGACCUGGACAAAGCGGAGAAGUUCGACCUGGCGUGGCGGACCGACGCACAGGGGCUAUGCAAGAAGUUCAACUCGCACGUCAAGGGUUGCGUUGGGCCGUUUGGGCUCUGGCUGCUGGCCUCCAACGACCUCGAGGAGAGGACAGCCGUCUUCUUCAGGGUGUUCAAGACCAACGACACCAAUUACGUCAUCCUCAUGUGUAAUGACCCAACAAGGCCGACCUUCGCCGGCUUUGUCAACGUCGACAUAGCCAAGACCAAGAAGAUCGCCCUCAGAACAUUGAUUGACCAUUCUGUGGUGGAGAGCUUCGGGGCCGGCGGAAAGACGUGCAUCCUGACGAGGGUUUACCCGAGGAAAGCCAUCGGCGACGACGCGCACCUCUUCGUCUUCAACAACGGUGAGUCGGACAUCAAGGUCACCAACCUGCACGCGCGGAGAUGA
rnacentral:rRNA from 1 species